AGCUCAGUCGGUAGAGCAUGCGGCUGUUAACCGCAGUGUCAAUGGUUCAAGUCCAUUAGGAAGCGCCA
rnacentral:tRNA from 1 species